rnacentral:rRNA from 1 species
GAUCCUGCCGGACCUGACUGCUAUCGGAUUGAUACUAAGCCAUGCGAGUCAUUGUAGCAAUACAAGGCAGACGGCUCAGUAACGCGUAGUCAAUCUACCCUAUGGACGGGAAUAACCUCGGGAAACUGAGAAUAAUGCCAGAUAGAACAUUAUGCCUGGAAUGGUUUAUGUUUCAAAUGAUUUAUCGCCAUAGGAUGGGACUGCGGCCUAUCAGUUUGUUGGUGAGGUAAUGGCCCACCAAGACUAUUACAGGUACGGGCUCUGAGAGGAGUGGCCCGGAGAUGGGUACUGAGACACGGACCCAGGCCCUAUGGGGCGUAGCAGGCGAGAAAACUUUGCAAUGUGCGAAAGCACGACAAGGUUAAUCCGAGUGGUUUCUGCUAAAGAAACCUUUUGCCAGUCCUAGAAACACUAACGAAUAAGGGGUGGGCAAGUUCUGGUGUCAGCCGCCACGGUAAAACCAGCACCUCAAGUGGUCAGGAUGAUUAUUGGGCCUAAAGCAUCCGUAGCCCGUUUUGUAAGUUUUCGGUUAAAUCCAUGCGCUUAACGUAUGGGCUGCCGGGAAUACUGCAUAACUAGGAAGUGGGAGAGGUAGACGGUACUCGGUAGGAAGGGGUAAAAUCCUUUGAUCUAUUGAUGACCACCUGUGGCGAAGGCGGUCUACCCGAACACGUUCGACGGUGAGGGAUGAAAGCUGGGGGAGCAAACCGGAUUAGAUACCCGGGUAGUCCCAGCUGUAAACUAUGCAAACUCAGUGAUGCAUUGGCUUGUGGCCAAUGCAGUGCUGCAGGGAAGCCGUUAAGUUUGCCGCCUGGGAAGUACGUACGCAAGUAUGAAACUUAAAGGAAUUGGCGGGGGAGCACCACAAGGGGUGAAGCCUGCGGUUCAAUUGGAGUCAACGCCGG